rnacentral:rRNA from 1 species
UACGUAGGGUGCGAGCGUUGUCCGGAAUUACUGGGCGUAAAGAGCUCGUAGGUGGUUUGUCACGUCGUCUGUGAAAUUCCGGGGCUUAACCUCGGGCGUGCAGGCGAUACGGGCAAUACUUGAGUGCUGUAGGGGAUACUGGAAUUCCUGGUGUAGCGGUGAAAUGCGCAGAUAUCAGGAGGAACACCGAUGGCGAAGGCAGGUCUCUGGGCAGUAACUGACGCUGAGGAGCGAAAGCAUGGGUAGCGAACAGGAUUAGA